rnacentral:lncRNA from 1 species
GGUGGUUUUUAUAUCAUGAUAUCUGUAUUACAACAAAAUUAGGCAAAAAAUAGUACUCCAUGAAAAUUCCAGCUAUACCAUAAAGCACAUAAACCUUUCUUCUAGUUAACUAUGCAGCAGGAAUACAAGGUUUUACUUUUUAAUAUUGCUUGGUAAGCAAAGAAGCAUCGAAACCCAUUUUCAAGUCUUUGGUUUGACCAUACUUAAAAGAUCUUACUGCUGAC